rnacentral:tRNA from 2 species
GAUUCUGUAGCUCAGUUGGUAGAGCACAUCACUUUUAAUGAUGGGGUCCUGGGUUCGAGCCCCAGCAGGAUCA